rnacentral:sRNA from 1 species
CAGUUGCUUGAUGAAGUCUCUCUGGUCUCUCUGAUGACCUUUAUGAUAGGUUCUGGUUCCAGAAAAUUUGCAGAAGUCCAAAAAUCAAGUUGCUCGCAGAGUGGUGUCAUUUCUGAAUGUGCUCAGGAAGGGUUCUUCCCUGCUGUAUCUUAGUUUCUGGCUACAUCCUGGAAAUUAAGAAUGGUGAUCAGAGCUAAGCUCUGGGUAAAUUAAUAGAAAUGAACAAAGCAAGAAUGCACAGAGAUCAGACUCCAAGAGCCAGCGUGGCCAGCAGCAAGGUCAGCAGUGGCCGAAUGUGUGGAUGGGGGGUGACCUAGAACCAUGAGAGGAGGGAAUUGGCAGCAGACAAAUAAAGCAAGCGUUGGUAAGACCUGGGCUUUCCCUUUAUUUAUGAAAAGGAGUCAAAGAGAAUCCUGGACUAGUCUUUGCUAACAAAUGAGAUAGGAUUUGAGUCUUUGCCAUCUGGGGGACCAGGAGUAAAUUGGCCACAUCCUUUUCUGCCCAGGUUGUUGGUUUAUUAGUUUCCAA